rnacentral:tRNA from 1 species
GGAGUUGUAGCUCAGUGGUAGAGCGCUUGCUUCAUACGUGUGAGACACUGGGUUUGAUUCCUAGCACCA